rfam:Aschersonia aleyrodis RCEF 2490 scaffold_21, whole genome shotgun sequence.
CCCAAGGCUUUCUUCAAAGCCACAACAAGUUCUUCGAAUCUGUUG